GACGAACGCUGGCGGCGUGCCUAAUACAUGCAAGUAGGACGCAGUUGCGAACGGGUGAGUAACGCGUAGGUCACUACCUAUUAGAGGGGGCUAACUAUUGGAAACGAUAGCUAAUACCGCAUACUAGUAGAUGGACCUGCGUUGUAUUAGCUAGUAGGUAGGGUAAUGGCCUACCUAGGCAACGAUACAUAACCGAGUCGGGAGGGUGGUCGGGCACCACGGGACUGGAGAAAGGCCCAGAAGCCUAACGGAAGCAGGAGGAGGGAAACAUCGGCAAAGGGGGGAAACCUGGACGAACAACGCCGCGGGGGUGAAGAAAGGUUUCGGAUCGUAAAGGUAUGUUGUGAAGGGAGCGGUACUUAAAGAGAAAGGAACGGCUAACUACGUGCCAGCAGCCGCGGUAAUAC
rnacentral:rRNA from 1 species